GUCGAAGUUUUUAAGGGCACAUGGUGGAUGCCUUGGCACUAGGAGCCGAAGAAGGACGUUGUAGCCUGCGAUAAGCCUCGGGGAGCUGGCAAACGAGCUGUGAUCCGAGGGUGUCCGAAUGGGGGAACCCGGCCGCAGUCAUGUGCGGUCACCGACGCCUGAAUGUAUAGGGCGCCUGGAGGGAACGUCGGGAAGUGAAACAUCUCAGUACCGACAGGAAGAGAUAUUCCGUGAGUAGUGGCGAGCGAAAGCGGAUGAGGCCAAACCGUAUGCGUGUCAAGCUGUCAGGCGUUGCGUGUGCGGGGUUGUGGGACCUUCCGAGAACCACUGACAUGGUUCUGACCAGUAAGAAAGUCGCGUGAUAGUCGAACCGCAUUGAAAGGCGGACCGUAGAGGGUGUGAGUCCCGUAGACGAAAUCGCGUGGCCUGGUGGAGGGGAUCCCAAGUAGCACGGGGCCCGUGAAAUCCCGUGUGAAUC
rnacentral:rRNA from 2 species